GAUGAACGCUGGCGGCGUGCUUAACACAUGCAAGUCGAACGGAAAGGCUCCUGCUUGCAGGGGUUCUCGAUUGGCGAACGGGUGAGUAACACGUGUGUGAUCUGCCCUGCACUUCGGGGUAAGCCUGGGAAACUGGGUCUAAUACCGGAUAGGACGAUGGUUUGGAUGCCAUUGUGGAAAGUUUUUCGGUGUGGGAUGAGCUCGCGGCCUAUCAGCUUGUUGGUGGGGUAAUGGCUUACCAAGGCGCCGACGGGUAGCCGGCCACAGAGCGUGUAAGGCGGCACAGGGACUGAGGUACGGCCCCGGCUCGUACUGGUGGCAGCUGUGCGGAAUAUUGCACAAUGGGCGCAGGCCUGAUGAAGCGGGGCCUCGUGGGGGAUGACGGCCUUCGGGUUGUAGACUCCUUGCGCUAGGGACGAAGCGUUUUGUGACGGUACCUGGAGAAGAAGCACCGGCUAACUACGUG
rnacentral:rRNA from 1 species